UAAUAUAAAUGUAAUUGUUAAGAUUAACAUUCUUGAUGAAGUAAUGAUAAUACCUUCAUUACUUAAUGGA
rnacentral:sRNA from 1 species